UGGACCUUUAAAUCAGUCCCGUGAGGCUGGCAAGGUAACGUGAGAGAAGGAUCGUUAUAUAGCGGUGCGCUGUACCGUUGUGUCCUUCCGUAUCAUUAUGCGUGUAAGCAACUCCUUGCCGAUUGGGGCAAGGAGUUUUUUCGC
rnacentral:sRNA from 1 species